rnacentral:rRNA from 1 species
GGGUUGUGAGGUUAAGCGACUAAGCGUACACGGUGGAUGCCCUGGCAGUCAGAGGCGAUGAAGGACGUGCUAAUCUGCGAUAAGCGUCGGUAAGGUGAUAUGAACCGUUAUAACCGGCGAUUUCCGAAUGGGGAAACCCAGUGUGUUUCGACACACUAUCAUUAACUGAAUCCAUAGGUUAAUGAGGCGAACCGGGGGAACUGAAACAUCUAAGUACCCCGAGGAAAAGAAAUCAACCGAGAUUCCCCCAGUAGCGGCGAGCGAACGGGGAGCAGCCCAGAGCCUGAAUCAGUGUGUGUGUUAGUGGAAGCGUCUGGAAAGGCGCGCGAUACAGGGUGACAGCCCCGUACACAAAAAUGCACAUAUUGUGAGCUCGAUGAGUAGGGCGGGACACGUGGUAUCCUGUCUGAAUAUGGGGGGACCAUCCUCCAAGGCUAAAUACUCCUGACUGACCGAUAGUGAACCAGUACCGUGAGGGAAAGGCGAAAAGAACCCCGGCGAGGGGAGUGAAAAAGAACCUGAAACCGUGUACGUACAAGCAGUGGGAGCCUCUUUUAUGGGGUGACUGCGUACCUUUUGUAUAAUGGGUCAGCGACUUAUAUUCUGUAGCAAGGUUAACCGAAUAGGGGAGCCGAAGGGAAACCGAGUCUUAACUGGGCGUUAAGUUGCAGGGUAUAGACCCGAAACCCGGUGAUCUAGCCAUGGGCAGGUUGAAGGUUGGGUAACACUAACUGGAGGACCGAACCGACUAAUGUUGAAAAAUUAGCGGAUGACUUGUGGCUGGGGGUGAAAGGCCAAUCAAACCGGGAGAUAGCUGGUUCUCCCCGAAAGCUAUUUAGGUAGCGCCUCGUGAAUUCAUCUCCGGGGGUAGAGCACUGUUUCGGCAAGGGGGUCAUCCCGACUUACCAACCCGAUGCAAACUGCGAAUACCGGAGAAUGUUAUCACGGGAGACACACGGCGGGUGCUAACGUCCGUCGUGAAGAGGGAAACAACCCAGACCGCCAGCUAAGGUCCCAAAGUCAUGGUUAAGUGGGAAACGAUGUGGGAAGGCCCAGACAGCCAGGAUGUUGGCUUAGAAGCAGCCAUCAUUUAAAGAAAGCGUAAUAGCUCACUGGUCGAGUCGGCCUGCGCGGAAGAUGUAACGGGGCUAAACCAUGCACCGAAGCUGCGGCAGCGACACUAUGUGUUGUUGGGUAGGGGAGCGUUCUGUAAGCCUGUGAAGGUGUGCUGUGAGGCAUGCUGGAGGUAUCAGAAGUGCGAAUGCUGACAUAAGUAACGAUAAAGCGGGUGAAAAGCCCGCUCGCCGGAAGACCAAGGGUUCCUGUCCAACGUUAAUCGGGGCAGGGUGAGUCGACCCCUAAGGCGAGGCCGAAAGGCGUAGUCGAUGGGAAACAGGUUAAUAUUCCUGUACUUGGUGUUACUGCGAAGGGGGGACGGAGAAGGCUAUGUUGGCCGGGCGACGGUUGUCCCGGUUUAAGCGUGUAGGCUGGUUUUCCAGGCAAAUCCGGAAAAUCAAGGCUGAGGCGUGAUGACGAGGCACUACGGUGCUGAAGCAACAAAUGCCCUGCUUCCAGGAAAAGCCUCUAAGCAUCAGGUAACAUCAAAUCGUACCCCAAACCGACACAGGUGGUCAGGUAGAGAAUACCAAGGCGCUUGAGAGAACUCGGGUGAAGGAACUAGGCAAAAUGGUGCCGUAACUUCGGGAGAAGGCACGCUGAUAUGUAGGUGAAGUCCCUCGCGGAUGGAGCUGAAAUCAGUCGAAGAUACCAGCUGGCUGCAACUGUUUAUUAAAAACACAGCACUGUGCAAACACGAAAGUGGACGUAUACGGUGUGACGCCUGCCCGGUGCCGGAAGGUUAAUUGAUGGGGUCAGCGCAAGCGAAGCUCUUGAUCGAAGCCCCGGUAAACGGCGGCCGUAACUAUAACGGUCCUAAGGUAGCGAAAUUCCUUGUCGGGUAAGUUCCGACCUGCACGAAUGGCGUAAUGAUGGCCAGGCUGUCUCCACCCGAGACUCAGUGAAAUUGAACUCGCUGUGAAGAUGCAGUGUACCCGCGGCAAGACGGAAAGACCCCGUGAACCUUUACUAUAGCUUGACACUGAACAUUGAGCCUUGAUGUGUAGGAUAGGUGGGAGGCUUUGAAGUGUGGACGCCAGUCUGCAUGGAGCCGACCUUGAAAUACCACCCUUUAAUGUUUGAUGUUCUAACGUUGACCCGUAAUCCGGGUUGCGGACAGUGUCUGGUGGGUAGUUUGACUGGGGCGGUCUCCUCCUAAAGAGUAACGGAGGAGCACGAAGGUUGGCUAAUCCUGGUCGGACAUCAGGAGGUUAGUGCAAUGGCAUAAGCCAGCUUGACUGCGAGCGUGACGGCGCGAGCAGGUGCGAAAGCAGGUCAUAGUGAUCCGGUGGUUCUGAAUGGAAGGGCCAUCGCUCAACGGAUAAAAGGUACUCCGGGGAUAACAGGCUGAUACCGCCCAAGAGUUCAUAUCGACGGCGGUGUUUGGCACCUCGAUGUCGGCUCAUCACAUCCUGGGGCUGAAGUAGGUCCCAAGGGUAUGGCUGUUCGCCAUUUAAAGUGGUACGCGAGCUGGGUUUAGAACGUCGUGAGACAGUUCGGUCCCUAUCUGCCGUGGGCGCUGGAGAACUGAGGGGGGCUGCUCCUAGUACGAGAGGACCGGAGUGGACGCAUCACUGGUGUUCGGGUUGUCAUGCCAAUGGCACUGCCCGGUAGCUAAAUGCGGAAGAGAUAAGUGCUGAAAGCAUCUAAGCACGAAACUUGCCCCGAGAUGAGUUCUCCCUGACCCUUUAAGGGUCCUGAAGGAACGUUGAAGACGACGACGUUGAUAGGCCGGGUGUGUAAGCGCAGCGAUGCGUUGAGCUAACCGGUACUAAUGAACCGUGAGGCUUAACCUUACAACGCCGAAGCUGUU